rnacentral:lncRNA from 1 species
CUCAUGGGAGAAGAGGGGUUUUUGUGACCAGUGAAAUAGAAGUUUUAAAGCCUGGCCUCUCUGCUGCACUUCCCUGACAUCAUAUAAUAAAAGUUACAUAUAGUCAAAAGUAUUCUUAUCACCCUAAAAACUUCUAUGAAGAUAAGAAAGUAUCACUGCCAAACAAUGAUUCUGCUCUUGUCCAGCCAGUGUGGACAAGAGGGCAGGUCUUCUAGGAAGACACUAAUUGAAGAUUAUGCUGUGGCCUCAAUAUGGUUUGUCCCCCUGAAACUUAUGCUGGAGUUUAACUUCUAAAUUUAAUCUGACAAUGACAUCCAGAGGGGCCUUUGGCGGGUGAUUGGGAUUAGACAAGAUCAUUAGGGUGCAACAACCUUGAUUGAAUCCUGGGAAAGACACCAAAAGACACACACAGGUCCGCUCCCUGUCUCUUGCCAUUGUGAUGCCCUGUAUCACCUUGGGACUCUGCCCACAAAAAGGUCAUCAUGCAAUACAGGCCCUUGACUUUGCACCUCCAGAACUAUGGACCAAGACAAACCCUUUUCUUUCUUUCUUUCUUCCUUUUUUUAAAUAUUUUUUUUUAGUUGUCAAUGGACCUUUAUUUUAUUUAUUUAUAUCUGGUGCGAAGAAUUGAACCCACACGUGCUAGGCAAGCACUCUAACAUUGAGCCACAAUCCCAUCCCCAAACCCUUUUCUUUGUAAAGUAGCGAGCUUUGGGUAUUUCAUCAUAGUAAUGAAAAAUGGACUAAUUCAGAGAAGCACUUGCAUCAGGCUUGUACUUGACAGGCUCAGAAGCCUCUUUCUGGCUACUUUGGACUCAAGAAGGCAGAGGAGAGGGUUUUGCAGGUAGCAUCUCUUCCCUCCUUUACAGGCAAUCCUCUUGCCUACCCCAUCACAUCCUGAGACUUGCUCUCCCCUGGGAUUCCUCUGAUGUGCCCAGCAACUACUUUCUCAAACAUGUUCUUCCUUAUUCCUUACGGUGGGAUUCUUAAAGCAGGGUCCCCAGACCAUGUGCUUCUGAGUCACCCUGGGUGCGUUCAUAGAAUGCAUUUUGGGGGCAGCAUUCCUGAAUUGCAGAAUCAGAAUUUCUGGGGUGGGAGGUUAUGAGCAUAGAGCAAUUUGAGAACUUCUGCCUCAGUCUUCAGGCACAGUUUUAGUUUCUUGCUGCAGUGGCGUGGUCUCUUCUUCUCUGACUCCACACUCUCCACGAGUGCUUGUCUCUUUUCUCCAAAGGAAAGAACCCUUGUAACACCUGUUCCUAGAAAUGUGCUCUGCCUCUCUUUUGUCAAAUCUGAGAGCUGCCUCUUCUUUGCAAGUUUUUGCCAGCCUUUGCUGUUUUCCCCCUGUUGGAGAAGGACAGGUGGAAGAUAGGGCCUCUGUUAUUAUAGGGAAUUGAGCAGGAAGCACAGCACAGGAAGCAGUUAAGAUGUUCUCAGCAGGAAGGCUGCUCUCCGGGAAGUGCAGAAAGCUGUCAGGACAAGUGACCUUUCUAAUCACGCCUGACAUUUCACAGUCUCGAAGGCAGAAGGGCUGCCCUUAUUCCAGAGGCUCAGUGUUGUGCUGUGUCAUCCCAGACACCUGCGUCUGCGACCACGGUGACUUGGCCUCCAACCAGGCGAUGAAUCAGAGCACGUAAGGGCUUUGUUUCCCAGGCAAAGAGACAACAUUGAGCAGGGGCUGAUGUGGACCCGGCUUGGAAGGCACUGGUGGAGGAGGAUUUUUUCUUCCCUGUGCCCAGGGGCUCAGGUGCUGCUGAUCAAAUGGGCUGCUCUGAGGAAUCAGGAUUAUCUUCCAGUCCCUUCUGGUCCAAGGGGACCUUGAU